GUGCUCGUGAAGUGUCAGGGACACAAAGGGAGCUACCUAUGCAUAUUACUGCUGAAUUGCUUUAAGAUCUCCAUGGACUCGCUUGGACUUGGCCAUGUUGACUCCCCUUGCAUUGUUGAGGGGUUUGGAUAGGCCCUGUGACCAGCUCCUGGCUCUGCCUCAUGUGCUUGGACUCUAUACAACCCUGCAUAGCUCUGCCCUGCUGGGAAACUGCUGAGAUCACAACUUUGCAACUGGGAAUUACAACAGAUUCAGCUUAGUUGAAUUCACCUUGAUUAAAGCAAGCAAGAUCCUGGUUUAAUAGAACAUGCUGCUAAAUAUGUUGCUGUCUUUAACAUCCUUAGAGAUUUAAGAUGAGUAUCUGGGGAGAAGAGUCAACACUGAAUGAUAGUGACAACGCUUCCAAUUUUUUUGUCUAAUCCAGGACAUUUGAAAGGAAUAAAAAAGGCCUGGAAACAAACUCAUAAAUAUUAUAAUCCAAUCCCUUGUUAUCAAAAGUAACCAACUUAUACAUUUCUUCCAGAAAUGUUCAGGUUUGAUUGGUUUCAAAUGGCUUAGAAUGACAAGAGACCAUGGACACAGCACAAGGAAAAAGGAUUGAAUUUAAAACAUGAAACAUGGCAAAAUAUUUUUUACUAGUAUUUGAUAAAUCAAAGAAUGGCACUAGGAAUAUACUGAAAUGAACUACAGAGAAACAGCAGGCACUGAAGUGCAGUUUGAUAUUUUUUUGGUAAAUCAAAGUCAGGUAUUACUUUCCUUUUCUAUAUUAUUCUUCUCCUAACUCCUAUCUCAGUGAUGAAGGUGAAAACAGAAACCUUCAAUACAGUGCUGAACAUUGUAAGCUUGUUUUCAUGAUUUUCUAUAUUUAGAUAUCUUGAUCUGCUUUAAUCCAGAAGUCAUAUAAAAUGCAAAUACAUUAAUUUGUUAUUUCACACAGUUCUAGACUGAAGUUUUUACUCAGUAAAACAGCAAAAUAGUUCUUCUAUCUUGGAAUUCCAAUUAAUAACUUAUUUUGUUUUUUUAAGUUCACCAAAAGUAUAAGACAGAUAAAAAAUGGGAAUUUAUCAGAGGACAGCAUUUUAGGAGGAAUAUACAUUUUGUUUUAGUCACACAGGGAAGGUGUUAGAGAGUAUUAAGAAAGUGUGUAAGAA